rnacentral:tRNA from 1 species
GAAAUAUAAAUUAAGUAAAGCUGCUAACUUUAUUUUUAGUGAUUAAAUAUUCAUUAAUAUUUCU